ensembl:lncRNA
GGACAUUUUGUCUGUAUAAGGGCUAAUGUAGCUGCUAGUAAUGUACAGGUAUAGUUAAGCCUACAGAAUUGGCAUGUUAGUUUUGGCACUGAAGGCCAAUUAGUCUGUUGCUAGAUAAUGAAAGGUCACAGUGAUGGCAAGGCAAAGAGAGCGUGAAGUCUGAACAGGAGGUUCCAGCACGCUGCCUUUCUGGAGUGUGCUGACAGAGACAGCUGAUAUCCUGGCAGAUCUUUCUCAAACUGUGAUGUGAACUGGCAAGUGGGCUGCCAAGAGUGAG